UUCGCUCAUGCGCAGUUUUUCGCACCACACAAUUUGAACAAGCUCCAUUGCAGACAUCACGACAUCAACGCUACAUAGAAGAAGAAAGAAAGAGACUAUAACAAACUCCCAUGGAGUAACAGAAAAUGAGGUCUACCUCGAGAUGGGAAAGUACCUAAAGAACGCCCCUGGACGAUGUAGCGGGGGGUGGA